UAGCAGAGGGGUAGGAAGUACAUUACAGUAGCAGAGGGAUAGGAAGGACAUUACAGUAGCCGAGGGGUAUGAAGGACGUUACAGUAGCAGAGGGGUAGGAAGUACAUUACAUUAGCAGAGGGGUGGGAAGGACAUUAGUGUAGAAGAGGGGUAGGAAGUACGUUACAGUAGAAGAGGGGUAGGAAGUACGUUACAGUAGAAGAGGGGUAGGAAGUACGUUACAGUAGCAGAGGGGUAUGAGGUACGUUACAGUAGCAGAGGGGUAGGAAGUACAUUACAGCAGCAUAGGGGUAGGAAGUACGUUACAGUAGCAGAGGGAUAGGAAGUGCGUUACAGUAGCAGAGGGGUUGGAAGUACGUUACAGUUGCAGGGGGUAUGAA
ensembl:lncRNA